UACGGAGGGGGCAAGCGUUGUUCGGAAUCAUUGGGCGUAAAGGGCGCGUAGGUGGUUCUGUAUGUCUACCGUGAAAGCAUACAGCUCAACUGUAUUUUGUCGGUAGAAACUGCAGGACUUGAGGCUGGGAGGGGCUGGUGGAAUUCCCUGUGUAGCGGUGAAAUGCGUAGAGAUGGGGGAGAACACUAGUGGCGAAGGCGGCCAGCUAGACCAGUUCUGACACUGAGGCGCGACAGCGUGGGGAGCAAACAGG
rnacentral:rRNA from 1 species